AACGAACGCUGGCGGCAUGCCUAACACAUGCAAGUCGAACGAGACCUUCGGGUCUAGUGGCGCACGGGUGCGUAACGCGUGGGAACCUGCCCUUAGGUUCGGAAUAACUCCCCGAAAGGGGUGCUAAUACCGGAUAAUGUCUUCGGACCAAAGAUUUAUCGCCUUUGGAUGGGCCCGCGUUGGAUUAGCUAGUUGGUAGGGUAAAAGCCUACCAAGGCGACGAUCCAUAGCUGGUCUGAGAGGAUGAUCAGCCACACUGGGACUGAGACACGGCCCAGACUCCUACGGGAGGCAGCAGUGGGGAAUAUUGGACAACGGGCGAAAGCCUGAUCCAGCAAUGCCGCGUGAGUGAUGAAGGCCUUAGGGUUGUAAAGCUCUUUUACCUGGGAUGAUAAUGACAGUACCGGGAGAAUAAGCGCCGGCUAACUCCGUG
rnacentral:rRNA from 1 species